rnacentral:rRNA from 1 species
AGUGAACGCUGGCGAUAGGCCUAACACAUGCAAGUCGAACGGCAGCACAGUAAGAGCUUGCUCUUACGGGUGGCGAGUGGCGGACGGGUGAGGAAUACAUCGGAAUCUACUUUUUCGUGGGGGAUAACGUAGGGAAACUUACGCUAAUACCGCAUACGACCUACGGGUGAAAGCAGGGGAUCUUCGGACCUUGCGCGAUUGAAUGAGCCGAUGUCGGAUUAGCUAGUUGGCGGGGUAAAGGCCCACCAAGGCGACGAUCCGUAGCUGGUCUGAGAGGAUGAUCAGCCACACUGGAACUGAGACACGGCCCAGACUCCUACGGGAGGCAGCAGUGGGGAAUAUUGGACAAUGGGCGCAAGCCUGAUCCAGCCAUACCGCGUGGGUGAAGAAGGCCUUCGGGUUGUAAAGCCCUUUUGUUGGGAAAGAAAAGCAGCAGGUUAAUACCCCGCUGUUCUGACGGUACCCAAAGAAUAAGCACCGGCUAACUUCGUG